rnacentral:rRNA from 1 species
UACGAAGGGGGCGAGCGUUGUUCGGAAUCACUGGGCGUAAAGGGCGCGUAGGCGGCCCUCUUAGUCGCGUGUGAAAGCCCCGGGCUCAACCUGGGAACGGCGCGCGAAACGGGAGGGCUGGAGUUCGGGAGAGGAGAGUGGAAUUCCCAGUGUAGAGGUGAAAUGCGCAGAUAUCAGGAGGAACACCGGUGGCGAAGGCGGAUCUCUGGGCCUUACCUGACGCUGAGGCGCGAAAGCUAGGGGAGCGAAUAGG